rnacentral:rRNA from 1 species
AGUGAACGCUGGCGGUAGGCCUAACACAUGCAAGUCGAACGGCAGCACAGUAAGAGCUUGCUCUUACGGGUGGCGAGUGGCGGACGGGUGAGGAAUACAUCGGAAUCUACUUUUUCGUGGGGGAUAACGUAGGGGAACUUACGCUAAUACCGCAUACGACCUACGGGUGAAAGCAGGGGAUCGUCGGACCUUGCGCGAUUGAAUGAGCCGAUGUCGGGUUAGCUAGUUGGCGGGGUAAAGGCCCACCAAGGCGACGAUCCGUAGCUGGUCUGAGAGGAUGAUCAGCCACACUGGAACUGAGACACGGUCCAGACUCCUACGGGAGGCAGCAGUGGGGAAUAUUGGACAAUGGGCGCAAGCCUGAUCCAGCCAUACCGCGUGGGUGAAGAAGGCCUUCGGGUUGUAAAGCCCUUUUGUUGGGAAAGAAAAGCAGCAGGUUAAUACCCCGCUGUUCUGACGGUACCCAAAGAAUAAGCACCGGCUAACUUCGUG